UCGGGUAAUCGAGCACAUAUAGAUGUGUUAGGAAAGUCCAUACUAGCACAGACUGCGAUGUCUGUAGUGUUUGUGCCUAACGAAAAAAUAAGUUAGGGCACCAGCGAUGGUGACGGCGAAUGAAACCUAAAGAUUUAUCCAUGGUGUAGUUCCUAAGGUGCCACAGAGACGAGAUUCUUUGGAAACAAAGAAGUGGAACGGGUAAACCCCUCAAGCUAGCAACCCAAAUUUUGGUAGGGGCAUGACGCGAGAAGGAAAUGAACUUACUCAAGUUACAGUGAAAACUGAGAUAAAUGAUUACCAACAAGAAAUUGUUACAGAAUAUGGCUUACAG
rnacentral:RNase_P_RNA from 1 species